UACAGAGGUCUCAAGCGUUGUUCGGAUUCACUGGGCGUAAAGGGUGCGUAGGUGGUCAGGUAAGUCUGAUGUGAAAUCUCUGAGCUCAACUCAGAAACUGCAUUGGAUACUAUCUGGCUAGAGGAGUGGAGGGGGGACUGGAAUACUUGGUGUAGCAGUGAAAUGCGUAGAUAUCAAGUGGAACACCAGUGGCGAAGGCGAGUCCCUGGACACUUCCUGACACUGAGGCACGAAAGCUAGGGGAGCAAACAGG
rnacentral:rRNA from 1 species